rnacentral:rRNA from 1 species
AGAGUUUGAUCAUGGCUCAGAUUGAACGCUGGCGGCAUGCUUUACACAUGCAAGUCGAGCGGCAGCGCGGGGGCAACCCUGGCGGCGAGCGGCGAACGGGUGAGUAAUGCAUCGGAACGUGUCCCGUAGUGGGGGAUAACCCGGCGAAAGCCGGGCUAAUACCGCAUAUGCUCUACGGAGGAAAGCGGGGGAUCCGCAAGGACCUCGCGCCAUGGGAGCGGCCGAUGUCCGAUUAGCUUGUUGGUGGGGUAAUGGCUUACCAAGGCGACGAUCGGUAGCUGGUCUGAGAGGAUGAUCAGCCACACUGGGACUGAGACACGGCCCAGACUCCUACGGGAGGCAGCAGUGGGGAAUUUUGGACAAUGGGGGCAACCCUGAUCCAGCCAUGCCGCGUGCGGGAAGAAGGCCUUCGGGUUGUAAACCGCUUUUAGUCGGGAAGAAAAGGCCAGGCCCAAUACGCCUGGUUCUUGACGGUACCGGCGGAAUAAGCACCGGCUAACUACGUGCCAGCAGCCGCGGUAAUACGUAGGGUGCGAGCGUUAAUCGGAAUUACUGGGCGUAAAGCGUGCGCAGGCGGUUCGACAAGUCCGAUGUGAAAGCCCCGGGCUCAACCUGGGAAUGGCAUUGGAAACUGGCGAACUGGAGUGUGGCAGAGGGGGGUGGAAUUCCGCGUGUAGCAGUGAAAUGCGUAGAGAUGCGG